rnacentral:lncRNA from 1 species
CUUGUUGCAUGCUGCAUGUUGGGUUGCCUGUCAUGUUGCAUGUUGCAUUGCGUGUCACGUUGCGUGUUCCAUGUUGCAUGGCAUGUCACGUUGUGUGUUGCAUGUUGCAUUGUGUCGUGUUGUGUCACGCGUGUUGCAUGUUGCGUUGUGUCACGUUGUGUGUUGCCUGUUGCACUGUCACGUUGUGUUGCAUGUUGCAUUGUGUCAUGUUGCAUGUCACAUUGCGUAUUGCAUGUUGCAUUGUCACGUGUGUCGCAUUGUGUUGCAUGUUGCAUUGCAUGUCGUGUUGCGUGUUGCGUCGUGUUGCAUGUUGUGUCAUGUUGCGUGUUGCCUGUUGCAUUGCAUGUCGUGUUGCGUGUUGCCUGUUGUAUUGCAUGUCACGUUGCAUGUCACGUUGCAUGUUGCAUGUUGCAUUGCCUGUCGCGUUGCAUGUCACGUUGCAUGGUGCAUGUCACAUUGUGUGUUGUGUCAUGUUGCAUGUCACCUGUUGCAUUGCGUGUCACGUUGCAUGUUGCACGUCACAUUGCAUGUUGUGUCGUGUUGUGUGUUGCCAUGUUGUGUGCCAUGUGUCGCGUGGCGUCUUGCAUGUUGCAUUGCAUGUCACGUGUCCUGUUGCAUGUUGUGUGUUGCAUUGCAUGUCAUGUUGCGUGUAACAUGUUGCAUUGCAUGUCGCAUCGUGUUGCAUGUUGCAUUGCAUGUCGUGUUGCGUGUUGCGUCAUGUUGCGUGUUGCGUCAUGUUGCAUGUUACCUGUUGCAUUGCAUGUCGUGUUGCGUGUUGCCUGUUGCAUUGCAUGUCGCGUUGUGGGUCACAUUGCACGUUGCAUGUUGCAUUGCGUGUCACGUUGCAUGUCGCGUUGCAUGGUGCACGUCACAUUGCAUGUUGUGUCGUGUUGCAUGUCACCUGUUGCAUUGCGUGUCACGUUGCAUGUUGCAUGUCACGUUGCGUGUUGUCGUGUUGUGUGUUGCCACGUUGCAUGCCAUGUGUAGUGUGGCAUGUCACAUGUUGCGUUGCGUGUCCCAUGGCGUGUUUUGCGGGCGCAGGUGGUGUCGCGGGGGCGCCUGGUGCGGGCGCAGCGGGUGCCGGCGGGCGCCGUGACGGAGGCGACGCUGCCCGUGUCGCCGGCGCUGGCUCCCACCUUCCGCGUCGUCGCCUUCUACCGCGCCGGGGGGCAGCUGGUGGCCGCGGGGCUGCGGGUCCGCGUGGCCCAGCCCUGCCGUGGGCAGGUGGGUGCCAUGGNNNNNNNNNNNNNNNNNNNNNNNNNNNNNNNNNNNNNNNNNNNNNNNNNNNNNNNNNNNNN